GACGAACGCUGGCGGCGUGCUUAACACAUGCAAGUCGAGCGGUAAGGGCCCUUUCGGGGGUACACGAGCGGCGAACGGGUGAGUAACACGUGGGUGACCUGCCCUCAGCUCUGGGAUAAGCCUGGGAAACCGGGUCUAAUACCGGAUAUGACUCCAUGACGCAUGUUGUGGGGUGGAAAGCCUUGUGCGGCUGAGGAUGGGCCGCCGGCCGUACU
rnacentral:rRNA from 1 species